AUUGAACGCUGGCGGCAGGCCUAACACAUGCAAGUCGAGCGGAGCGUCGGACGGGUGAGUAUUACCUAUGAAUCUGCAUGGUCGUGGGGGAUAACGUUCGGAAACGGACGCUGAUACCACAUACUAUCAGAUUCGCCUAGGCCGGAUUAGCUAGUUGGUGAGGUAAUGGCUCACCAAGGCUACGAUCCGUAACUGGUCUGAGAGGAUGACCAGUCACACUGGAACUGAGACACGGUCCAGACUCCUACGGGAGGCAGCAGUGGGGAAUAUUGGACAAUGGGCGAAAGCCUGAUCCAGCCAUGCCGCGUGUGUGAAGAAGGUCUUCGGAUUGUAAAGCACUUUAAGUUGGGAGGCGUUACCGACAGAAUAAGCACCGGCUAACUCUGUGCCAGCAGCCGCGGUAAUUC
rnacentral:rRNA from 1 species